rfam:Picea glauca, whole genome shotgun sequence.
GAUGCAAGUGAUGAUGAAAAGAAUAGGGACAUCGGUACUCCACUCAGUGCGAGGAUGUCGACGCAUUCUUGGGAAUCUCUCUGAUGCAUU